rnacentral:rRNA from 1 species
CUACGGGGGGCUGCAGUGGGGAAUAUUGCACAAUGGGCGCAAGCCUGAUGCAGCAACGCCGCGUGAGGGAUGAAGGCCUUCGGGUUGUAAACCUCUUUUAGCAGGGAAGAAGCGAAAGUGACGGUACCUGCAGAAAAAGCACCGGCUAACUACGGUGCCAGCAGCCGGGGUAAUACGUAGGGUGCAAGCGUUGUCCGGAAUUAUUGGGCGUAAAGAGCUCGUAGGCGGUUUGUCACGUCUGCUGUGAAAAUCCAAGGCUCAACCUUGGACUUGCAGUGGGUACGGGCAGGCUAGAGUGCGGUAGGGGAGAUGGGAAUUCCUGGUGUAGCGGUGGAAUGCGCAGAUAUCAGGAGGAACACCAAUGGCGAAGGCACAUCUCUGGGCCGUAACUGACGCUGAGGAGCGAAAGCGUGGGGAGCGAACAGGAUUAGAUACCCGCGUAGUC